rnacentral:rRNA from 1 species
CCUACGGGUGGCAGCAGUGGGGAAUAUUGCGCAAUGGGCGCAAGCCUGACCCAGCAACGCCGCGUGAAGGAAGAAGGCUUUCGGGUUGUAAACUUCUUUUGACAGGGAAGAGCAGAAGACGGUACCUGUCGAAUAAGCCACGGCUAACUACGUGCCAGCAGCCGGGGUAAUACGUAGGUGGCAAGCGUUGUCCGGAUUUACUGGGUGUAAAGGGCGUGUAGCCGGGCUGACAAGUCAGGUGUGAAAGCCGGGGGCUCAACCCCCGAACUGCUUUGGAAACUGUUGGUCGUGAGUAUCGGAGAGGCAGGCGGAAUUCCUAGUGUAGCGGUGAAAUGCGUAGAUAUUAGGAGGAACACCAGUGGCGAAGGCGGCCUGCUGGACGACAACUGACGGUGAGGCGCGAAAGCGUGGGGAGCAAACAGGAUUAGAUACCCCUGUAGUC